GACGAACGCUGGCGGCGCGCUUAACACAUGCAAGUCGAGCGAGAACCGGGGCUUUCGGGCCCCGGGGACAGCGGCGAACGGGUGAGUAACACGUGAGUAACCUGCCCUCGGCACCGGAAUAGCCCGGGGAAACCGGAUUAAUGCCGGAUAGCCCCUCUGCCCUGCGGGGCGGCGGGAAAAGGUAGCUUCGGCCUCUGGCCGAGGAUGGGCUCGCGGCGGAUUAGCUUGUUGGCGGGGUAACGGCCCACCAAGGCGA
rnacentral:rRNA from 1 species